UCCGCACAUAUUUCAAAUACUGAUACCGAUAAUUCCGCACUUUUCAGAAAAAGGUACCCCUAAAUAAUGGCACGUCCCCGUACUUUCUAACAUGUCAUUAUCCCCGCCCCUUCGAGAAUACGGCCCAUGUAAAUAUUUACUUGUGUAACUUAGAAGUCAGUCGAAAUUUGUUUAGUAGAUGUCCCAGGGGAUGUCAAUUGAUCCUGGUGACUCUGAGGAAGAUGAGGACAUUAUAAUUGACUGAUUUUUAGAAACUUUCGAAGCUGCUAACAAAGUUUUUGAAAACAUUUGGAUGGCAUCUUCAUAGCAAAAAAUGCAUAAGGGCAUUUUUAUAACAUUUUUGCAGUAAAUUAUUAAUAAGCCCCCAUCUAGGUCUGAAAAAUAAAUAAGCCCCCGGGGGCUUGAUAGAGAUUUUACGGUAUAUUUCUUAACGCUUUAGGAAGACAAUUAAAUUUGAAUGUAUUGGCAGUAACCCUUUCACCUCUUGAUCUGUAUUGGCAUCCACUGGUCGAGGAACGCCACGAGAAUUUGAAAGUGGGGGGAACAAGGCUAAAAAAGUUGUGGGCCAAGGCUUCUUACCUCCUUUACUGCAGCUUUUAAACUACUUGCUUCGCAAAAAGGUGGAGGCCAUGGCCACCCCUAGGUGGCAAAAACUUCUCGUUUUUAAGAUGCACAAUUCUUCAAAAUUACACAUUACAUUAGCUCAGCCUCAACCUGUUCUUAACGUGUUCUUAACGUUUGAACAAUUCUUUAUGCUCGCGUUCUUAUAAAAUUGUUCUUAUUGUAAAAGAAAAAGUUUUCUGAGUUUCGCGAGUUUCUAUGAUUUAGGAACGAGGCCACUGUCUCGCACACAAGCCCCAUGCUUUCUUCUUCUUGUCUGUUGAAGAGAAAAAGUUUUGUAACUGAUAAGGAUAACUGCUGAGAAAUUUGAAAUGUUUCGUGUUGGAGGCAAACCAGGAAAAGCUAUAGAUAAAGAAGCAGAGAAGAAGAAGGCUAGAAGUCAAGUUUAUAGUUCUGUGGCAACUUUUGUAGGUGUUGUAGGACUACUAAGACUUGCUCCUUAUGCUAUCAACUACAUACAAGGCCAAUGACAUAAGAAGAUGUGAUUCCAAGAAAGUUGCCAGUCCUAGAAAAGUGAAUAUAAGAGAGGGAUGAAAAUUUGAUGAAGCUGGCAAUGCUUCCCAGUAGCUGGCAAUGGCUUUGAAAACUCAAAUUUGUAAAGCAGUUUUGUAAAUAGUUGUUUUAUGUCAGAAUUUUCAAUUGUGAUCUUUGCAGUUUGUGUGGAAUCCCAUUGAAAUACCUAA